rnacentral:tRNA from 1 species
GUCUCAGUAGGUAAAUGGUAUACCACCUUGCCUUGUAACCAGAAGGUCCUGGGUUCCAACCCCUGUUGGUGCG